rnacentral:lncRNA from 1 species
ACAGUAAAACUCGUAUGCUUCUCAAAGUACUGAGUUUUCCGUAUUUGUAAAUUAUUUUUUAUAUUAAAAUUUUUAAAUUGACGAUCGGCUCCGUUAGACCUGAUCUAGAGUAUUUGAAGUAUCUAAGAAAUAAAUUUUGCGAUUUUUUGAUAUCAUUUGCCUAGUGAUCGAAGGAGCUCAAAAUCAACGGCUGAAAAUAAAAAUCUUACAAAAUGUGAUGGUAUGAUAUUAAAAUUUUAGAUCAAAAAUAUUAAUCUUGUUUUAUAUAGUAUAAAAAAUUUCCUAUCAAAAUUAUUGAUUUUGAGGCCCUUCGAUCACUAGACAAAUGAUAUCGAAAAAUCACAAAAUUUAUUUUUAGAUAUUUCAAAUACUCUGGAUCAAAUCUAACGGAGCAUAGCGUUGAUUCGAAAGUCCCAACAUCGAAAACGACUUGAAAGCACGAAGAGCUCCGCGCUUACCUCACUCGGUAUUUGUAUUUCGUAUAGCGAGAAAAAUUUAGAGU